rnacentral:rRNA from 1 species
AUUGAACGCUGGCGGCAGGCCUAACACAUGCAAGUCGAACGAGUGGCGGACGGGUGAGUAAUGUCUGGGAAACUGCCCGAUGGAGGGGGAUAACUACUGGAAACGGUAGCUAAUACCGCAUACCAUCGGAUGUGCCCAGAUGGGAUUAGCUAGUAGGUGGGGUAACGGCUCACCUAGGCAACGAUUCCUAGCUGGUCUGAGAGGAUGACCAGCAACAUGGGAACUGAGAAACGGUCCAGACUCCUAGGGGGGGCGGCAGUGGGAAUUAUUGCACAAUGGGGGAAAGCCUGAUGAAGCCAUGCCGCGUGUAUGAAGAAGGCCUUGGGGUUGUAAAGUACGUUCAGCGAGGAGGCGUUACUCGCAGAAGAAGCACCGGCUAACUCCGUGCCAGCAGCCGCGGUAAUAC